rnacentral:lncRNA from 10 species
UGGCACCUGUAAUCUCAGCUACUCGGGAGGCUGAGACAUGAGAACAGCUUGAACCAGAAGGUAGAGGUUGCAGUGAGCUGAGAUCUUGCCAUUGCACUCCAGCCUGGGAGACAGAGUGAAAGACUUCAUCUCAAAAACAAACGAACAACAACAACAACAACAAUUUUAAAAAAAUACAGAACAACGUAUUUAAGAUCGCCUGCGAGUCUUGUGCAGUCUUCCCACCUAGAACCAUUCUUUUCCUUGGAUUAUUUGCAUUUCUGUCAACGGCCCUGUAAUAUCUUGGGGUAGCACUGCAGUUCUCCUGAGGAGUGAAUGUCCAUCAGCAGCAGAAAGUGCACUUGCUCCCUGAAAGGGCACCGGGAUCCUUGGAACAGGCUCCAUGUUAGCGCUGGCAAAAGGAUGAAUGCAGCAUUCCGUGAGGAAUAUUUUUCUGGAGAGUGGACUAAAUGAUGAAUGGUGGUCUGGGCAAGCUUCGGACUAAUUGGAGCAAGGAGAAUGGAACUUAGUGUCUGGGAUGUCUUUCUCUGAGCUCUUACCAUUAGUGCACAUCAGCAAUAAUUUGUAGGACUCUUCUUUCUGAAAGGGAGAACUGACAAAAUUGAUACAGAGCCAUAGUCCUAUGGUUCCUGCAGUUUUAGCCAAGUUUCUGACAUAAGGACUUUCAUUCAGGGAACCAGACAGUGUCAAAUGGAAUACAAGAUGGGGGAUGGAUGUCUAGAAUAAAACAGAAGCCCAUUGAUUGGUCAGAGCGUGAAUAGAUGCUAAAUAAGACAAAGCUGUAUCUGAAACAUACAGAAAAAAUUACCUAUUCUUAAAAUAAAAGUUGGCUGUCAAUGCUUGGGUAGGAGACUAUAAGCCCAAUUAUGAUGAAUAUUUCAUAUUAGAAUGUAUAUCCUUGGAGGGAGUGAAGCAUUCUAGAAAAAUAUAUAGCCAAGUCUAAUUAAGACAAAGGCAGUAGAAAUGAAGGAGGAUGGUGGAGUUAAGAAAUAUUUAGAUUGAAAAACAAAGAAAAGUUUGAAAGUGAUUGGGCACCUUGCUUUAGAGAAUGGUAACGAAUCUCUUUCUUGAAUGGUCAAAUUGAUGUUAAAUUAUAACCUACAUUUCACCAUCAGUGCCAUGAGUAUUAAAAUGUCAAGUAAAGAAGAUGUCAUUGUGUGAAGAUGCUUGUCUUUGUAGACACAUUUUGGGUGGGAUAGUUUGAGAAUCAAAUAAACAUUUUAAGAGUCACAAUUAAUUUUGUAAUUUUAGCACAUAGUUUAUUAGAGUGGAGGACUAGGUUUUUUUUUUAACUUGUAUCCAUGACUUUCAGUAAAGUGGUAAAGAAUUAUUGCUUGUAGAAAGGAAACAUGAAUGUUUCAGCAUCAUUAGUGGUUAAGAAAGUAGUAACAGCUACCUCAUCAAAAUAUACAGAUGGCAGAUAAAAUCAUGAAAAUAUACUACCAUUAUACGUAACUAGGAAACUACAAAUCAAAACAACUAUGAGAUACCACUACACACCUAUUAAAAUGGCAAAGUCCGGAACACUGACAACACCAAAUGCUGGUGAGGAUGUGGAGCAACAGGAACUCAUCCAUUGCAGGUGGGAAUGCAAAAUGUUGCAGUCACUGUGGAAGACAGUUUGGCAGUUUCUUACAAAACUAAACAUACUCUUAGUAUAUGAUCCAGCAAUUGCACUCCUUGGUAUUUACCCAAAUAAGUUAAAAACUUAAGUUCCCACAAAACCUUGAACAUGAAUGCUUAUAGCAGUUUUUUUUUUCGUAAUUGCUAGAACUUGGAAACACCCAGCUGUUCUUCAGUAGGCGAAUAAACCUUGCUACAUCCAGACAAUAGAAUAGUAUUUAGCACUAAAUAUAAAUUAGCUAUCAAACCAUGAAAAUACAUGGAGAAGACUUAAAUGCAUAUGACUAAGUGACAGAAAAAGCUCAACUGGAAAGGCUACAUAAUUUAUGAUUCUGACUAUAUGACAUUCUGGGGAAGGCAAAACUUGAAGACAGUAAAACGUAAGUGGUUCAAAGGGUUGGGGGAAGAAAAGCAUGAAUAGGAGAGCCACAGAGGAGUUUUAGGGCAGUGAAAAAUACUCUGUAUGGUACUGCAAUGAUGGUAAAAAGUCAUUAUACAUUUGUUAAAACCCAUAGAAUGUAUAACACCAACAGUGCACCCUCAUGUAAGCCAUAGUCCUUGGGCGGCAAUGGCAGGUCAAUGUAAAGUCACUGAUUGCAACAAAUGUACUACUCUGGUUCAGGAUUUUGAUAGUGGAAGAGGUUAUAUAUGUAUUCAGGGUCAAGGGGCAUAGAAAAACUCUCUUUACCUUCUGCUCAAUUUUGC